ACUCAAAUGAAUUGACGGGGACUCACACAAGCGGUGGACCAUGUGGCUUAAUUCGACAACAAACGAAGAACCUUACCAGGACUAGAAACCCAGACGACCAUCCUAUGAAAGUAGGACUUCGCAAGACGGCUGGGCAGGUGCUGCAUGGUUGUCGUCAGUUCGUGUCUUGAGACGUACCGUUAAUUCGGGUAACGAACGCAACCCUUGCCCUGUGUUUUAUAUGUCACAGGGGACUGCCCGAGAUAAUUGGGAGGAAGGCGAGGAUGACGCCAAAUCAGCAUGGCCCUUGAUGUCCUGGGCCGCACACGUGGUACAAUGGCCGGUACAAUGGGAAGCAAACCCGCAAGGGGGAGCCAAUCCCAUCAAAACCGGUCUCAGUUCGGAUUGAGGGCUGAAAUUCGCCCUCAUGAAGUUGGAAUCGCUAGUAAUCGCCAAUCAGCUACGUGGCGAUGAAUACGUUCCUGAGUCUUGUACACACCGCCCGU
rnacentral:rRNA from 1 species